rnacentral:rRNA from 1 species
UUUUGGACAAUGGGCGCAAGCCUGAUCCAGCCAUGCCGCGUGUAUGAAGAAGGCCUUCGGGUUGUAAAGUACUUUUGUCAGGGAAGAAAAGCCUGAGGAUAACACCCUCAGGUCAUGACGGUACCUGAAGAAUAAGCACCGGCUAACUACGUGCCAGCAGCCGCGGUAAUACGUAGGGUGCGAGCGUUAAUCGGAAUUACUGGGCGUAAAGCGAGCGCAGACGGUUAUUUAAGCAAGAUGUGAAAGCCCCGGGCUCAACCUGGGAACUGCGUUUUGAACUGGGUAACUAGAGUGUGUCAGAGGGGGGUAGAAUUCCACGUGUAGCAGUGAAAUGCGUAGAGAUGUGGAGGAAUACCGAUGGCGAAGGCAGCCCCUGGGAUAACACUGACGUCAGCUCGAAA